rnacentral:rRNA from 1 species
UGGGGAAUCUUCCGCAAUGGACGAAAGUCUGACGGAGCAACGCCGCGUGAGUGAAGACGGCCUUCGGGUUGUAAAGCUCUGUGAUCCGGGACGAAAGAGCCUGAGGUAAAUAGCUAAGGAAGUGACGGUACCGGAAAAGCAAGCCACGGCUAACUACGUGCCAGCAGCCGCGGUAAUACGUAGGUGGCAAGCGUUGUCCGGAAUUAUUGGGCGUAAAGCGCGCGCAGGCGGCUUACUAAGUCCAUCUUAAAAGUGCGGGGCUUAACCCCGUGAUGGGAUGGAAACUGGAAAGCUGGAGUAUCGGAGAGGAAAGUGGAAUUCCUAGUGUAGCGGUGAAAUGCGUAGAGAUUAGGAAGAACACCGGUGGCGAAGGCGACUUUCUGGACGAAAACUGACGCUGAGGCGCGAAAGCGUGGGGAGCAAACAGG